rnacentral:misc_RNA from 1 species
ACCCUUAAGCCUAGCUUAGUGUUGGGAGACUGCCUAAUACGCAGCUCCUCAAAACCAGUGGCAGAGUUUUUACGUACUCUGAGCGCAGUAAUUCUAUUCUCGCUUUUGAACACGUCUAGACGAUAGCCAAAAACCGCUUGCCUCGGCAGCACUUUUUAAUGGUUGACCUCGGAUCAGGUAGGAAUACCCGCUGAACUUAA